rnacentral:rRNA from 1 species
UACGAAGGGGGCUAGCGUUGCUCGGAAUUACUGGGCGUAAAGGGCGCGUAGGCGGACAGUUUAGUCAGAGGUGAAAGCCCAGGGCUCAACCUUGGAAUUGCCUUUGAUACUGGCUGUCUUGAGUUCGGGAGAGGUGAGUGGAAUGCCGAGUGUAGAGGUGAAAUUCGUAGAUAUUCGGCGGAACACCAGUGGCGAAGGCGACUCACUGGACUGGUAUUGACGCUGAGGUGCGAAAGCGUGGGGAGCAAACGGG